UCUUGCCUGGAGAAUCCCAGGGACGGGGGAGCCUGGUAGAAGGCCGUCUAUGGGGUCGCACAGAAUUGGACACGACUGAUGUGACUUAGCAGCAGCAGCAGCAGCAGCAGCAGCCAGCAGCACUGAGCACACUGCCCAGAACCUGGAAUAUGUGUGUAUUUAACAGAAACUGUGGGUGACGGUCUCAUGGCUAAGCGAGGAUGUACUCUGAAGAUGUGUCCUCAGACUUGACGAUUGUGCCUAGAUUGUUUCCUAAUUCCUAGAAAGAGAGAAAAAGCUUCUUCAUACCCUAGAGCUCUUGUCAGCGACCCAUUUUGUGAAUGGAGACAUUUCUACUUUGAAGUCAUAAUUUAUCCUGCAAGAGCUGCUAAAAGAAGCACUUUUAAACUUGGAUCUGAGCGGAGGCUGGGAAUUGGUUCUGCAUAGUUAUUAAUAACAGGACGAGGAGGCUCUGAUGUUCAAACUUGUCCCUGAAACGCAGCAAGACCUCUCAGCUUCAAAUCCCCAGCCCGACUUCAUGAAUUUUAUUUAUGCAUUCAUUUAUUUAUGUGAUGUCUGGUGCUGAGCCGCGGAUGAAAAAUUAAAACGUAAAUUCAUCAGCAGGACCCAGAGCAGAGCUGGAUUAAAAUUUGAACUCCUGAACUUCGAGGCCCCUCCUGCCACAGAGAAAACAAGAUCAUCAGCUGAGCUCCAUAAACAAAGGAAGAGCUUCUCUUUCCUCCCCCAACAACAGGCGAAAAGGCAGACCUGAGAACACUCAGGCUCCAAAUGUCACUCACAACAUCCCAAACCAAAACAAAAGCAAUGCGCCAAACAGCCACACAAACAGAGGCGGGCGGGACAGGCUUCUAGUAAGCCCUGGUCAGUUGCCAAAAUUGGCUUCUGGCUGCUGGCCCUGCGGGAAUUACGUAAUUCCCAGAUAAGGGCCCUCAACUUCAAAUUUCAUCCUCUCAUCUUAGACUUUUACUCUGAAGAGCUGGCAGCAAAAAUAGGGGAGGAAAUUGAGUCAAGGAUAAAGCAGCCUGCCUGUAAUCACACAGCUGAGCUCUUUUCCUGGGGCACCAACUUCGGACAGUGCUCUUCCUCAGCUCAGAAUACUUUCUCUGCUCACCCUUCUGAUGGAUUCUCUUGGAAUUAUCCAGAUUUGAAUGUGUCCUCUGAGCGCUGCUGGGACCCUCAUUGACUGGCACAGUGACAUGGGACAGGCCCGCUGCAAGCUCCAGACACCCCCCAACUGAAGUUACACUGAAGAAAGCCUCUUGAAUGCGCAUGAGAAAGAACGAACAAGGAUAUUUACGGCGGCAUUGUUUAUAAUAGCCAUAAAGACACCUGUUUCCCAAACAGACAUGCGGGUCCGUCUGACUCUUCAGAGUCACUCCUCCCAUCCUCUAGGAUGGUUCCCUGUGUCCACAGUGGGAUGAUGUCCACGUCCAUCUUGAAAUAAGCAGAAGAGCGGCAUGCAUGGGUUGUGAGAAGAUUCAAUCAAUGAACAUUUGAAGAGCAUCUAAACUACAUCCUGGCAGACGGGGACACUGAGCCCUGAAAGGGUUUGAAGAAUGCUAAUUCAGGGCUUGCUUGCUAUCAUUUUACACCCCUGGAAAUGACUUCAGGAUAUUUUAGUUCUCUGGAGACAGAUAAGAAAAUUGAAGCAUAGAAUGGUUACGUCACCUGUCCGAGGUCAUAUAGCUGUAACCCGCCUUGCUUAGCAGAUGCCCCUUUGCACUCUCAUUCUAUGGCUGGGUUACCCCAAAGAGAAGAUGGCCCAUUUUCUCUGGAUCUGAAACUUGCCACUCUGUGUUGCAACCCUCGUCAGAAAAUAUAUUCAAGCCUUGUCCUAGGCAUGUGAGACAAGAGGUCAGGGGAACAGGCUCAGGCAACUGCUCACACAGGCAGGUAGGUCCCUGAGACAGGCUUCCAGUCAGGAGAGGGAGUGCCUGAGAGGAGAGAACAGAAGUGGUUUCUGAGAACUGAACGCUGUUUACUUGAACGACCUGCUUUCUAGGAACCCCUCCAUCCAGCUGAGUCACCUCUAUGGCUGCAAAGUUAACAUCUGGUGUGAUGCUUAUUCUAAAGUUUAACUCAGUUCCCACGUUCACAGAAUUAGAGGGAUGACAGGAAGAAAAAAGACUAACAGGUUUGGUGGAAGAGUGGAGAUAAUGGUACCAUUCUCUCCGUGGGACUGCCCAGAAAUCAAAUGAGAAGCAUCAGGCUUCAUGAGACGUCUUCUCUCUUCACUUAGGAAUUCUAUUCCGAGUAAUCCUGCUGCUGCUACUGCUGCUAAGUCGCUUCAGUCGUGUCCGACUCUGUGUGACCCCAUAGACGGCAGCCCACUGGAAUUUCUAUCUCCAUACAAGAAAUGAAGAAGCUGAGGCUUGGAGAAAUGACUGAACCCAGCAUACAGUAAUCAAAAGGGAAAAAUGAACUCAGCAUCAAGACAAGAUGGCUCUCUUAUCCUCACUUUCUGCCAGCUUGCAGCACCUGCUGGCAAGUGGUAGAGAGCUGGUUGAAGGACAGCAGGAAGUGCUUUGCCUCGUUUUUCAUCAGAACUUAGACAGCAGAGACCAAUGAGUGCUGUAAAGUCAGACUCCAAGUGGCAUUGUUGGAGAGGAACUGAAGAUGGUUAAGAAAGAGGAGACCUUAAGGUCACGGGUUCAGCUCUUCCUUUUGUAUGAAUUAAAAAGCAUUCCAGAGGGGCAGGAUGAGCUGUCAAAGGACCCCAUGCAGGUUUCCAGAAUCCAAGUCCUCCAAUCAGUUUUGAAAAACCCCACUCAUUCAUUAAUUUCAUUUCUAUUUUACAUUGGGGGUAUAGUUGAUUUACAAUGUUGUGUUAGUUUCAGGGGCAUAGCGAAGUAAUUGAGUUAUACACAUACAUAUAUAUCUAUUCUUUUUCAGAUUCUUUUCCCAUAUAGGUUAUUACCCCACUCUUAAGAACCAGUCUCACCACGACUCUGCUCCUUAUGGCCUUGUUCCCCUCACCCCAGCCAUAAUUUUUUCAUGGUCUUUAUUUUCCUCAAUACUUUUCUGGAGGCAUAAUUACCCAUGGAUUUAAGUCAUUGGAAAAAUGCUUGCCUGCUCUUUGUAUCAUUGCUGCUGUCUUCCUAAUCGCUGCUAACCCCUAGCACCUAGCGAUCUCAAUCAUUGAGAGACGGCAAUUGUGUGAUAAGCCUGCUGAGAUGGAUUGGGAAUAAACUUGUGCCAGAGAACUCUAGGGGGCUUCCGGAGGAGGAAGAGGAGCAGCAAGAAUAGGUGUAGUGAUGGAGUGGUCAGAGCAGUUGUCUCUAUAUUUACUGUUCACUUAGUAUGUACCAUAUCUGAUAAACAUUUUCUGUGCAUUAUUUCCUUUAAUUUUCACAUUAUGCCUAUGAGAUGGAUAUUGGUACUAUUGGCCUUUUCUGACUAAGGCAACUUAAACUGAGAAAGCUUAACCGUUUGUCAAAAGUCAGGCUCUGUUGAGGCUUACUCCAAGAUUAGGUCUUUCCAUGACUGUAUUCAGGGAAGUGUGUGCCAAUAAUAGAAAUUUUCUUUUGUACUUGAAGCUCCCCUGAAAUGUGUGAUUCCCUGCCCUUUCCCCCAGAUCUCUACAGAGUCCUACUGAUACCUGGGGCUAGAGUGAGGCGUCCAGAUUCCAUGUUCCUUCCUGGGUCUGGGAGUCACACUGUGGGUUUCCUCUCUGUAGGGGUCCUCUGUUCCACUGUCCCCCUGGCCCCAAGGAAGCAUUAUGAAUGAAUGCAGGGAGUUUCCGUAAUCAGAGUGAUCAGCUGACCAUAUCUGUAACUGUGCCUUAAAGUCUACCAUUAGCUUCAUGCUACAAGCUAAACUCUCCUGUUUCUAAAUACCCUCUUUAAAAUGCCAGGAGAAGUUCCCAGCUCAGAUGCCAGCAGAGUUUUGAAAGUUCAUUCACUGUUUGGCAUUUAAAGUGCACUUUCCUAUCAAAGCCAUGGUAUAAAUAGUGGGUAGAUGUCUAUCAGACCAGAUCAGAUCAGUCGCUCAGUCAUGUCCAACUCUUUGCAACCCCAUGAAUUGCAGCACGCCAGGC